rnacentral:rRNA from 1 species
UACGUAGGGGGCUAGCGUUGUCCGGAUUUAUUGGGCGUAAAGAGCUCGUAGGCGGCUCGGUAAGUCGGAUGUGAAACCUCCAGGCUCAACCUGGAGACGCCAUCUGAUACUGCCGUGGCUUGAGUGUGGCAGAGGGGGGUGGAAUUCCGCGUGUAGCAGUGAAAUGCGUAGAGAUGCGGAGGAACACCGAUGGCGAAGGCAGCCCCCUGGGCCAACACUGACGCUCAGGCACGAAAGCGUGGGGAGCGAACAGG